AGUGAACGCUGGCGGUAGGCCUAACACAUGCAAGUCGAACGGCAGCACAGUAAGAGCUUGCUCUUACGGGUGGCGAGUGGCGGACGGGUGAGGAAUACAUCGGGAUCUACUUUUUCGUGGGGGAUAACGUAGGGAAACUUACGCUAAUACCGCAUACGACCUACGGGUGAAAGCAGGGGAUCUUCGGACCUUGCGCGAUUGAAUGAGCCGAUGUCGGAUUAGCUAGUUGGCGGGGUAAAGGCCCACCAAGGCGACGAUCCGUAGCUGGUCUGAGAGGAUGAUCAGCCACACUGGAACUGAGACACAGUCCAGACUCCUACGGGAGGCAGCAGUGGGGAAUAUUGGACAAUGGGCGCAAGCCUGAUCCAGCCAUACCGCGUGGGUGAAGAAGGCCUUCGGGUUGUAAAGCCCUUUUGUUGGGAAAGAAAAGCAGCAGGUUAAUACCCCGCUGUUCUGACGGUACCCAAAGAAUAAGCACCGGCUAACUUCGUG
rnacentral:rRNA from 1 species